rnacentral:rRNA from 1 species
GUGUCAGCAGCCGCGGUAAGACGGAGGGUGCAAGCGUUAUUCGGAUUUAUUGGGCGUAAAGAGCGUGUAGGCGGCCGGCCAAGCCAGAUGUGAAAGCCCAGGGCUUAACCCUGGAAGGGCAUUUGGAACUGGUUGGCUUGAGUUCGGGAGAGGGAAGUGGAAUUCCGGGUGUAGAGGUGAAAUUCGUAGAUAUCCGGAGGAACACCGGUGGCGAAGGCGACUUCCUGGACCGAAACUGACGCUGAGACGCGAAAGCGUGGGGAGCAAACAGGAUUAGAAACCCUCGUAGUCC